rnacentral:rRNA from 1 species
AUUGAACGCUGGCGGCAUGCCUUACACAUGCAAGUCGAACGGCAGCAUGGAGGAGCUUGCUCCUCUGAUGGCGAGUGGCGAACGGGUGAGUAAAGCAUCGGAACGUGCCGGGUAGUGGGGGAUAACGUAGCGAAAGGUACGCUAAUACCGCAUACGCACCGAGGUGGAAAGCAGGGGAUCGCAAGACCUUGCGCUAUACGAGCGGCCGAUGUCAGAUUAGUUAGUUUGUAGGGUAAAGGCCUACCAAGGCGACGAUCUGUAGCGGGUAUGAGAGGAUGAUCCGCCACACUGGGACUGAGACACGGCCCAGACUCCUACGGGAGGCAGCAGUGGGGAAUUUUGGACAAUGGGGGAAACCCUGAUCCAGCCAUGCCGCGUGUGUGAAGAAGGCCUUCGGGUUGUAAAGCUCUUUCGGCUGGGAAGAAAUCGCACAGGCUAAUACUCUGUGUGGAUGACGGUACCAGCAUAAGAAGCACCGGCUAACUACGUGCCAGCCGCCGCCGUAA